GAUGAACGCUGGCGGCGUGCCUAAUACAUGCAAGUCGAGCGAACAGACGAGGAGUUUGCUCCUCUGACGUUAGCGGCGGACGGGUGAUUCCCACGUGUAUAACCUACCUAUACGACUGGGAUACCUUCGCGAAACCGGAUCUAAUACCGGAUAAUAUAUUGAACCGCGUGGUUCAAUAGUGAAAGACGGUUUUGCUGACACUAAUAGAUGGAUCCGGGUCGCAUUAGCUAGUUGGUAAGGUAACGGCUUACCAAGGCGACGAUGCGUAGCCGACCUGAGAGGGUGAUCGGCCACACGGGAACUGAGACACGGUCCAGACUCCUACGGGAGGCAGCAGUAGGGAAUCUUCCGCAAUGGGCGAAAGCCGGAUGGAGCAACGCCGCGUGAGUGAUGAAGGUCUUCGGAUCGUAAAGCUCUGUAAGUAGGGAGGAAGAAAAGUGUAAGUAACCAUGCACGUCUUGACGGUACCGAAAGAAUAAGCCCCGGCUAACUACGUG
rnacentral:rRNA from 1 species